rnacentral:lncRNA from 1 species
AAGGCUGUUCAAUGACCCAUACCCAUAAACAUGUUUUCACAUCUGACACACAACCGUUCCUUGGCGUUGGCUGAGUCUCACUCUCACGUGGUGGCCCGAACAUAAGGUGCACUCAAAUCAUACCUCAGGAGAUACUUCACCCAACAUCUCCCCCCGGAGGUAAGUAUAUAAUUGGGUUACCGUGCCCCUCUCAUAGGCAGUCCACGGAAACCCCCACCACUGCAGUGACCGUUUAAUAU